CCACGGCCAUAUUUACAGCUUGUCUCGCGCCGAGCUGUGAGGGUAUACGACGCGUCUGUAGCCAUUAUGUUGAAUGACUGCACAGUGCCUGUGAGCCAGUCAAGUGGGGCCAGGCGUACUCUCUGAACUCCAGAGCCAUCCAUCCACACGUCGGCAGGAGGGGGGGGGGGGUGGGCAAAAUAAGGUGAGACGAGCGCUUUGAGUUUCGCGAGGGGCCGCGCCUAUGCACCUGCAGCCUAUAGGUUUUCUAAAUCUGAGCCCAGUAGGCUUGGUGCUGCGUAGGGGGCUCCUCCAGCCUGUGUACACCCGACUGUACUGCGCCCUGUGGUGGACUGCUGCAUCCCCCGCCCUCUGGGUCGGACAGGCCAGUCAUCUCGUGGCGCUCCGAUGGGGGCUGGAGGCCGGCUACGCAGAAAAGGAAGGCUGAGAUGAGUGGGGGGGCCUAGGCAGGGGUGCUUUAGGCUCGCGCUGUGAACCGUCUACUGGCAAAACGGUGGAUUACAAAGCCCCACAAUGCGAGCAACACAGGCCGUAGUGGACCGGACGCCUACGGUCAUGCAACCCUGCAUGGAAAUAGAAAACAAAGAAACAGAACGGUAGAGAGAGAGAGAGAGAGAGAGAGAGAGAGCGAGAGAGACGCGAGGACAAGACAGGUCCAUUUUGAACGUUGACAUUAAAUUACUCAGAUUUGACAGACAGUUUAUUUUGUGGAGAAUUUUCCAAAACAAAAAAAGCGAAAAGGGGUACGAUUAAAAAAUGUAAUGUGUUGAAGCGCAUCCACUUCUUUCCCCUGAAUGCAAUGUGCCUCAACAAUGAGUCAACCUUGGCACACUGAAACAUAGGCAAUAGAUAUAUCUGAUGAUCUACAACAACCCUUCUUUGAAUCUCUGCUUGUUCACUCCGAGCCAUUCUCCUCUCCUUCCUCAUCCCUUCUUCUCUCCCCUCACUAUAAAAGUUCCAUGCCAGGGAAGGACUGAGAGCUGCUCCUAAUGCUUGCUGUCAUACCAUGGUCCCUUGGCCCUUAUGAGUCAUUUAUAGGCAUUCAUCAUUAAACAGCUCUUUGGAAGUUGGCUAUAUGAAAUUAUAAUAACACAGAAAAAGCUACAUAGCCCAAAGAGACUCUAAAACCUCUCUUCCUCGAUGCCAUCUUCCGUCGCUUUGCUGACCAUUUUUAGACUCGCUAGCCCUCGGAGCCGGUGUGUGAUGUGGGGGGGAUCUGUCGUGUGGACACAGCACACACACGUUCAGCCAGAACAAAAUGAAAGAAAAGAAAUAGAAAGAGAGACAUGGAAUAAACAGUGCAGGAGAUUACUUAUAUACAGCAAGGUGGUUUAUAGCUAGUAGCAAGAGAGGUGAUAAUCAAAACUAAUAGGUAGAAUUACAAAGAACAUCGAUAUCAACCCAAGGUACAAUGAAAGUUUCAUUGAUAAAGUGUAAUGUGAUUUUAACCACUAUCAAAAAAUUUGUACCAACACACAGAGUACAAAACUAGUUCUUAUAUGCCCAGCUCCACUCAAGCUAUAUUAUGUUAUGCAUGAACCUUUACCAUUUGCCCAGCCAACCCCCUGCGUUAUUCUCACAGCUAAUCUGGAAUUGAAUUUCCCAUUGUCUCGAAAGCGUAAUGUGAUCAAGGUCGUGUGUGUCUCCUGUUAUCCAAUCAGGAUUGAGUUUGAGUAUAGUGUUCCAUCUGAGAUUAUUUCCAAUGCGAGGGAAUGGGGAGGGAGGGGGUCAGACUUUUUCUUCUUAAUAAUGACAUAAUCAGCAGAGCAGCCAUCAAGCAGAUAAAUUGUCAUGCGCGUCGUGCUAAAAAUAUCCUUUGCCACCCCCCCGCAGCCCCCAGCCCGCGCCCAGAGCUCUCCCUGUUGACAGCACUUGUGUGAUGAAGCUGUUAAGUGGCAGAAACGCAGAGCCUGUGGUUGGAUCAUCUGCUUCCUGCUGGUGCACUCCUGCUGGCAGAUUUGCAAGAAGAGGGCCCUCUUAACAGCCUUGGUGCUUAAGUGUACAGAUUUAGAUAUGUAAAUAGGAUCUAUACAAUACAACGGGUACCUCCCCCCCCCUCCCUCAAGGAAAGAAAAUAAAUGGAUGGAAAAGAAUCUGUGACAUUUUCUCUUUUUUUCGCUCAUUAAAAUGUCUGCAUUGUGCAUACAGGUUUGCUUUUUUUUUCUUUUUACUUAAAGUUUUCAGUUCUUUGUUGUUGUUUUUUUUGCUCCUCUCCUGAUUGUUUAUUGUCUUAUCUUACAUAGCUCAUUUAUGAAGGUAACACAUGCCUAAACUAGGUUGGCACAGCAUCUGCUCUCUGUUCCACAAAAGAGUAAUCUAGUUUUUGCCACAGGAAAACAAUAUGUUUUCCUUCAUUUACAAAGCACUUUCCCUUUUCCACCUUCGAGGUGUGUCUGAUGCUCCGUUCUGCUUCCAGUUAACACUAUCACGCAGUCAUUUGUCAAAAGAUCCCAAAGGCCAUAUAUGUCUCCAGAACGAAUAAAACUCCUUUACCCUAUUUUUGCUGAAACCCCAAAAAACGAGCAAUCUUCCACUCUGUUUUAGUCUGUCAAGUUGCUUUUCUUCAGUUCUUUCGAUAUAUAAAUGCUUUUUUGCUUGUUUUCUCCCCGACGUCUCUUAUUUUUAUACAAAACCCC
ensembl:lncRNA